UAGUCUACUCUAUGGGUUCUUAGUAUUUA
rnacentral:piRNA from 1 species